rnacentral:rRNA from 1 species
UUGGGCACUCUAAUGAGACUGCCCGGGUGGACAAAACCGGAGGAAGGUGGGGAUGACGUCAAGUCCUCAUGGCCCUUAUAGGUGGGGCUACACACGUCAUACAAUGGCUGGUACAAAGGGUUGCCAACCCGCGAGGGGGAGCCAAUCCCAUAAAGCCAGUCGUAGUCCGGAUCGUAGUCUGCAACUCGACUACGUGAAGUCGGAAUCGCUAGUAAUCGUGGAUCAGAAUGUCACGGUGAAUACGUUCCCGGGUCUU